rnacentral:rRNA from 1 species
AGCCCCGAACUUACGUGAGGGGCGCUUUUAUUAGAUCAAAACCAAACGGCUUCGGUCGUCCCCCUGGUGAUUCUGAAUAACUUUGGGCUGAUCGCACGGCUUCACGCCGGCGACGUAUCCUUCUAAGGUGUGCCCUAUCAACUGUCGACUGUGGCAUAGACGCCCACAGUGGUUCUGACGGGUAACGGGGAAUCAGGGUUCGAUUCCGGAGAGGGAGCCUGAGAGACGGCUACCACUUCUAAGGAAGGCAGCAGGCCCGCAAAUUACCCACUGGUCGAAGACCGAGGUAGUGACGAAAAAUAACGAUAUCGGACUCAUCCGAGGCCCGAUAAUCGGAAUGAGUACACUUUAAAUCCUUUAACGAGGAACAAUUGGAGGGCAAGUCUGGUGCCAGCAGCCGCGGUAAUUCCAGCUCCAAUAGCGUAU